rnacentral:piRNA from 1 species
UCACAGGCACACUGCUUCAUGAGAGA